rnacentral:rRNA from 1 species
AUUGAACGCUGGCGGCAGGCCUAACACAUGCAAGUCGAGCGGAUGAAGGGAGCUUGCUCCUGGAUUCAGCGGCGGACGGGUGAGUAAUGCCUAGGAAUCUGCCUGGUAGUGGGGGAUAACGUCCGGAAACGGGCGCUAAUACCGCAUACGUCCUGAGGGAGAAAGUGGGGGAUCUUCGGACCUCACGCUAUCUGAUGAGCCUAGGUCGGAUUAGCUAGUUGGUGGGGUAAAGGCCUACCAAGGCGACGAUCCGUAACUGGUCUGAGAGGAUGAUCAGUCACACUGGAACGGAGACACGGUCCAGACGCCUACGGGAGGCAGCAGUGGGGAAUAGGGGACAAUGGGCGAAAGCCUGAUCCAGCCAGGCAGCGUGUGUGAAGAAGGUCUUCGGAUUGUAAAGCACUUUAAGUUGGGAGGAAGGGCAGUAAGUUAAUACCUUGCUGUUUUGACGGUACCAACAGAAGAAGCACCGGCUAACUUCGUG